rnacentral:rRNA from 1 species
UUGUUCGGAAUUACUGGGCGUAAGGGGCUCGUAGGUGGCCAACUAAGUCAGACGUGAAAUCCCUCGGCUUAACCGGGGAACUGCGUCUGAUACUGGAUGGCUUGAGUUCGGGAGAGGGAUGCGGAAUUCCAGGUGUAGCGGUGAAAUGCGUAGAUAUCUGGAGGAACACCGGUGGCGAAGGCGGCAUCCUGGACCGACACUGACGCUGAGGAGCGAAAGCCAGGGGAGCAAACGGG